GACGUAGGGGGCGAGCGUUGUCCGGAUUUAUUGGGCGUAAAGCGUGCGUAGGCGGCUGCGCAAGUCGGUUGUGAAACCCCAGGGCUCAACCCCGGAACUGCAUCCGAUACUGCGUGGCUAGAGGUAGGUAGGGGAGAUCGGAAUUCCUGGUGUAGCGGUGAAAUGCGCAGAUAUCAGGAGGAACACCGGUGGCGAAGGCGGAUCUCUGGGCCUUACCUGACGCUCAGGCACGAAAGCUAGGGGAGCGAACAGG
rnacentral:rRNA from 1 species